GUCCCCCGUUGCCUGAAGUUUCCUCGGGGGGGGAGCCAAAGUCGGCAGGGGGCGCAGUGCGAGAGCCCCGCCAGGCGCCUCCGCCUCCUCGAUUGCUCGGGCUGAGGGGGCGGUAGGUGACAC
rnacentral:SRP_RNA from 11 species